rnacentral:hammerhead_ribozyme from 1 species
GCACUGCUGACGAGUCCCAAACAGGACGAAACAGCUGUGCCGGUGC